rnacentral:misc_RNA from 1 species
UAACUGGACUUGCUAUUGCUGCUGCAUCUCUGGUUGCAGUAAAUACGACGGGGAAUGCAAUUUAUGAUCCUAUAGGUUCAAUUAUUGUCGGAAACAUUCUUGGGAUGGUGGCUAUAUUUCUCAUCCAGAGGAAUCGACAUGCUUUGAUUGGUAGAGCAAUGGAUGACCAUGACAUGGAGAAGGUUCUUCGUUUUUUGAAAAAUGACCCGGUUGUAGAUUCUUUAUAUGAUUGCAAAAGUGAGGUUAUUGGACCUGGAUUCUUUAGAUUUAAAGCAGAAAUAGACUUUAACGGAGUGGUGGUCGUGCAGAAUUAUCUAAAUAGGACUGGACGUGCAGAGUGGGCCAGACAGUUUCAUGAAGCUGCAAAGGAGAAGGAUGAUAGGGCGUUGCUCAAGAUCAUGUCAAACUAUGGUGAGGAAGUAGUUACUGCUUUAGGAAGUGAGGUUGAUAGGCUUGAAAAGGAGAUCCAGGAACUUGUUCCUGGUAUUCGGCAUGUUGAUAU